rnacentral:rRNA from 1 species
CUUUAGAUAUGAUCCAGAGUACCACGGGACACGUGAAACCCUGUGGGAAGCAGGAGGGACCACCCUCCAAGGCUAAAUACUACCUAGUGACCGAUAGCGUAUAGUACCGUGAGGGAAAGGUGAAAAGAACCCCGGGAGGGGAGGGAAAUAGAACCUGAAACCCUGCACUUACAAGCUGUGGAAGCACAUUUCUUGUGUGACCGCGUACUUUUU